AUUGAACGCUGGCGGCAUGCCUUACACAUGCAAGUCGAACGGCAGCACGGGUGCUUGCACCUGGUGGCGAGUGGCGAACGGGUGAGUAAUACAUCGGAACAUGUCCUGUAGUGGGGGAUAGCCCGGCGAAAGCCGGAUUAAUACCGCAUACGAUCUACGGAUGAAAGCGGGGGACCUUCGGGCCUCGCGCUAUAGGGUUGGCCGAUGGCUGAUUAGCUAGUGGGUGGGGUAAAGGCCUACCAAGGCGACGAUCAGCAGCUGGUCUGAGAGGACGACGAGCCACACUGGGACUGAGAAACGGCCCAGACUCCUACGGGAGGCAGCAGUGGGGAAUUUUGGACAAUGGGCGAAAGCCUGAUCCAGCAAUGCCGCGUGUGUGAAGAAGGCCUUCGGGUUGUAAAGCACUUUUGUCCGGAAAGAAAUCCUUGGCCCUAAUACGGUCGGGGGAUGACGGUACCGGAAGAAUAAGCACCGGCUAACUACGUG
rnacentral:rRNA from 1 species